AGUGAACGCUGGCGGUAGGCCUAACACAUGCAAGUCGAACGGCAGCACAGUAAGAGCUUGCUCUUACGGGUGGCGAGUGGCGGACGGGUGAGGAAUACAUCGGAAUCUACUUUUUCGUGGGGGAUAACGUAGGGAAACUUACGCUAAUACCGCAUACGACCUACGGGUGAAAGCAGGGGAUCUUCGGACCUUGCGCGAUUGAAUGAGCCGAUGUCGGAUUAGCUAGUUGGCGGGGUAAAGGCCCACCAAGGCGACGAUCCGUAGCUGGUCUGAGAGGAUGAUCAGCCACACUGGAACUGAGACACGGUCCAGACUCCCACGGGAGGCAGCAGUGGGGAAUAUUGGACAAUGGGCGCAAGCCUGAUCCAGCCAUACCGCGUGGGUGAAGAAGGCCUUCGGGUUGUAAAGCCCUUUUGUUGGGAAAGAAAAGCAGCAUGUUAAUACCCCGCUGUUCUGACGGUACCCAAAGAAUAAGCACCGGCUAACUUCGUG
rnacentral:rRNA from 1 species